rnacentral:lncRNA from 1 species
AAGUUUUAUCCAGCCUGGUCCAGAACUGACCACAGCUACUUCUCAUGAAUGAGUUUAGGACCUAGGCUUGCACCACCACUCUUGCUUCAUACUUUGAGGUUCCAGCCCCUUACCUCGCCAGUUUUUGCUGCUUCUCACGUAGCUGGGAGCUUGUGAAACCUAAUGCCAAAAUCAGUGUUUGUGUACUGGAUUCACCAGGGGAGAAAAUGUUGAAUCAGAUUCUCAGCCUGCCUGAGCCUCCUACCUUUUGUAUUCUUCAUGUAUCAUAAUAUUUAAUAAAAGGGAAA